GAUGAACGCUGGCGGCGUGCCUAAUACAUGCAAGUCGAGCGAACGGACGAGAAGCUUGCUUCUCUGAUGUUAGCGGCGGACGGGUGAGUAACACGUGGAUAACCUACCUAUAAGACUGGGAUAACUUCGGGAAACCGGAGCUAAUACCGGAUGAUAUUUUGAACCGCAUGGUUCAAAAGUGAAAGACGGUCUUGCUGUCACUUAUAGAUGGAUCCGCGCUGCAUUAGCUAGUUGGUAAGGUAACGGCUUACCAAGGCAACGAUGCAUAGCCGACCUGAGAGAGUGAUCGGCCACACUGGAACUGAGACACGGUCCAGCCUCCUACGGGAGGCAGCAGUAGGGAAUCUUCCACAAUGGGCGAAAGCCUGACGGAGCAACGCCGCGUGAUUGAUGAAGUUCUUCGGAUCGUAAAACUCUGUUAUUAGGGAAGAACAUAUGUAUAAGUAACUGUGCACAUCUUGACGGUACCUAAUCAGAAAGCCACGGCUAACUUCGUG
rnacentral:rRNA from 1 species